GGAAUUUUGGACAAUGGGCGAAAGCCUGAUCCAGCAAUGCCGCGUGAGUGAAGAAGGCCUUCGGGUUGUAAAGCUCUUUUGUCAGGGAAGAAACGGUGAGGGCUAAUAUCCUUCGCUAAUGACGGUACCUGAAGAAUAAGCACCGGCUAACUACGUGCCAGCAGCCGCGGUAAUACGUAGGGUGCAAGCGUUAAUCGGAAUUACUGGGCGUAAAGCGUGCGCAGGCGGUUUUGUAAGUCUGACGUGAAAUCCCCGGGCUCAACCUGGGAAUUGCGUUGGAGACUGCAAGGCUAGAAUCUGGCAGAGGGGGGUAGAAUUCCACGUGUAGCAGUGAAAUGCGUAGAGAUGUGGAGGAACACCGAUGGCGAAGGCAGCCCCCUGGGUCAAGAUUGACGCUCAUGCACGAAAGCGUGGGGAGCAAACAGGAUUAGAUACCCGGG
rnacentral:rRNA from 1 species